AAAAAAAAAAAAACCCAAAAAACAUUUCAUUUCAUAUUUGAUCUCCUGGGCAAGCUUUCACUUCUUUUUAUGAAGCUCUGUCUGAUAGACGUGGGUCUUAGGUCAGUGAGUUCAUUCUGUUGCUUUUAAUGAAGGUUACAUUACCUAGUGGAUAACCUUUGUAUCUGAAAAUUGUGGAUAUAAUUGCUCAACCUCAGUGUAAUUUGUAUACAAGGAUAACCUUUUUAGGGAGGGUAAGUAUUUCCAAAAUGUUGGCUUUGAUUUUCACUGUUUGUCCUGACUGUAUUUUGUCUAUUCAUUUAGUGAAAUCACACCAGAAGGAAGAAGGAUUACUAAAUUAGAUCAGAUUUUGCUAAAUGGAAAUAAUAUAACAAUGCUGGUUCCUGGAGGAGAAGGACCUGAAGUGUGAAUGAGUUUCCUUGACUUACACUAGAUUUUGUUUUGGCUUAUAAUGACAAGAAAAUGGAAUUUUUUUUCCCACCUUUCUAAUGUUUAAAUCCCAUAAAGCUAAGUUUCCCGUUAAAGGGAAGUGCUUUGAAGAUGUGUACCCAUUUUUGUAAGUUAAUCAUGAUUAUCCUGGAAAAAGAAGAAAAGAGCUUCUUCUUUGCAGAUGAAAAUAAAGGUGUUUUUGGUUAA
rnacentral:sRNA from 1 species